rnacentral:lncRNA from 1 species
AUGCUAUCCUUCCUCACUGCUGUCUCCUCUAGAUAUCAGAACGGGGAGGGAGUGGAUGAUGACGACUGUUCCCCUUAUGCGGUGAGCCAGGGAGAGCAGGAACCAGCGUACUCAUUCAUACAGCUGACCAAUCAGAAGACUGACCCUGUGUUCAGUGGGGAUGGAGAACUCACUUCAGACCCAUCUGCAGAUGAGGCCAUCACGAGGAUGAACUCCAUAUAUGAAACCUCAGGUCCAUAGUCUCAAACUGCCUGACAGUUUCUUGUGUGAGUUCUCAGUCAGGGACAUGAGAGGACUACUAGACAUCCUGCAUAAAGACCAAGAUUACACGAUCGGCCUGUUCACAACCCAUAAAUAACCGCGUUUGUCCUGUUUCAGUUAAAAUGAGGAAGGAACUCUUGCUGUCACAACUUCCUGACUGAAACCUAAAAUUCCCCCAGAUUAAUUAGUUUCUCUCUUUAGUCUUGCUAUACCCUAUAAUGAUCCAGUUCCCUGCAGUUUCUCACUGUAGUCUUGCUAUACCCCGACCCAAUUCCCUGGAGCAAGUUCAUUGAAUAUCCAGAAAGGGAAGAAACUGUAAAAUGGACAGCUUGCAUACGCUUACACUUAUCUCUUAUCUCAGGUAGUUGCAUCCAUUAUUUUCAUGUAAUGAAGUUCAGUUGAUAUGAAUUUUUCAUUAUAUUUAAAACACCUGUAUGAAUGAAUGUUCCACUAUUUGAGCUAUGCUUCUAUAGGUAACUAGUGUUGGUAUCAUCUUCAAAUUCAUUUUGAUGGCAUCUGGUCAUGUGAAAGACCGAUAAACACACCUGCUGUCCCCACUGGCUGCCCAGGCUAUGCACUAUGCAGUUCUGUAAUCUGGCUCAGAAACCCUGUGAAAAUGGAAAAAAAGGAAUCUUUUGACAGAACAGUGUUGCCAACUAUUUCUCCAAAAGACACCAGUGUCAACUGUGCUGUUGUUGUUUGCAAGGCCUUUGCAUGCCUUUUAGAUAGUUAGCUUGCUAGUUUAAUACCCCAAAACUCCUUACUGCUGCUUUGUUUGUGGGCUUUUCCCACAGCUGUAUAGAAUAUAUAGAUAGAAUAGAUACAUAUGACUGUAUUGUUGUGUUUCGUUGGAUAGUCAUUUCUGAUGUUGGUACAUUGAGCCAAUAUGCUUGAGGUUGUUCAAAUGUGUUUGCAUGUGUGGUUUGUAAAUACGCCAAAAUGAUAAAUGAACUAAUUAAACUGUACAUUAAAAAAGUCA